GACGAACGCUGGCGGCGUGCUUAACACAUGCAAGUCGAACGGAAAGGCCCUGCUUUUGUGGGGUGCUCGAGUGGCGAACGGGUGAGUAACACGUGAGUAACCUGCCCUUGACUUUGGGAUAACUUCAGGAAACUGGGGCUAAUACCGGAUAGGAGCUCCUGCUGCAUGGUGGGGGUUGGAAAGUUUCGGCGGUUGGGGAUGGACUCGCGGCUUAUCAGCUUGUUGGUGGGGUAGUGGCUUACCAAGGCUUUGACGGGUAGCCGGCCUGAGAGGGUGACCGGCCAAAUGGGGAAUGAGACACGGCCCAGACUCCUAGGGGAGGCAGCAGUGGGGAAUAUUGCACAAUGGGCGGAAGCCUGAUGCAGCAACGCCGGGGGGGGGAUGACGGCCUUCGGGUUGUAAACCGCUUUCGCCUGUGACGAAGGGUGGGUGACGGGAAUGGGUAAAGAAGCACCGGAUAACUAAGU
rnacentral:rRNA from 1 species